AUUGAUAGUUGAGGGUGAGGGAUCUAAAUCUGAAUGUCUCUAUUGGAAAUUGAGGUGUCAACCAAUUAAACUAAAUCUUAUUGAAAUAUUGGAGAAAACUAAUAAUGAAGUUCUAGCAAUUCUCCAAGCUUUUAAUGGUUGCUGCUCCUUGAUCGCAUUUGUGACAACACAUAUCUUGUAUCUAAACUUCUAUAAACUUGAUUAUGCUAUGCCAAAUAUGUCGUCUUAAAAUCCAUUGCAUAUGGCUUUGUUACUCUGCCAACAUUUUUAGAGUUUCCAUGUUUGGCUCUACAAGAAUGAUUCUUCAAAAUAUCUUAGGGUAUGUUUGGUAAGGUAUUUUAAACAACAGUUUUAGUGUUUAAACAACAUUAUACGUAUUUCUACAUAUUUUUUCAUCCACAUGUAUUUCCAAAAAAUACAAACAAUGGUACUAGUGCCACAUAGUGUCUAAAAUACUAUUGACCCCAUCUCCAUGACCCAACUUUUUUCCCAGCAUGCCCUUUAACAGCUCUAGCUCAUCACUCAAUGAGGCCACGGCCUAUCGAACGACUUCAUGGUUCCCAUGUUGAAGCAAGAAAAUAUAAGUGGCAGCAGAACUUCCAGUGACCAAGUGAUUUGGAUGCAACCGCAUUUGAGAUACUGGAGCAUCAAAUUGCAGUACCUUUUGCACAGAUGAUGCGAGGAGGCCAAGCUUUUGAAGAGAUAAUAACUAAAGAUUAGUUUUUAGAACCCCAUGAACUUGAAAGGAGGCAAACUCAAGGUUGGAUUUAGGCUUGGCCAUUAAAAAAUUCAAGCUCAGAACUUGAAGCUUUCUCUCUUCCGGAUUUUGUUUGAGUGGACAUGCUUUUUUUCAGUUGUAAUAAACAGCAUUUACCAUUUUGGGACAUAGUGGACUGGAGGCGAUUUUCAUUCAGGGAUCCUCAUAAAUGAGCUUCUAGAAGGGAAGUUCGACUCUGAGAUCAAGAAACUACAACAGAAUUUGGUCAUGGUACAGCACCACUUUCAGUGGAACGACCCCCUAAACAUUAUGAUACCUUCCAUAUGGUGCUGUUUUCUGACAAAGAAACACCUGUACUGAACAUUAUGCCCUUACAAGUUUUAUAUCACAUUU